AUACGGAGGAUCCGAGCGUUAUCCGGAUUUAUUGGGUUUAAAGGGUGCGCAGGCGGCCAUUUAAGUCAGCGGUUAAAUCGUGGGGCUCAACCCCAUUCUGCCGUUGAUACUGGGCGGCUUGAUUGCGGUCGAGGUUGGCUGGAUUCGUUGUGUAGCGGUGAAAUGCAUAGAUAUGACGAAGAACACCGAUUGCGUAGGCAGCUGACCAGACCGCAAAUGACGCUCAUGCACGAAAGUGCGGGGAUCGAACAGGAUUAGAUACCCUGGUAGUCCGCACAGUAAACGAUGAAUACUUGUUUUCGGCGAUAUAAUGUCGGAGGCAAAGCGAAAGCGAUAAGUAUUCCACCUGGGGAGUACGCCGGCAACGGUGAAACUCAAAGGAAUUGGCGGGG
rnacentral:rRNA from 1 species